UACAGAGGUCUCAAGCGUUGUUCGGAUUCAUUGGGCGUAAAGGGUGUGUAGGUGGCGCGCUAAGUCGGGUGUGAAAUUUCGGAGCUUAACUCCGAAACUGCAUUCGAUACUGGCGUGCUUGAGGACUGGAGAGGAGACUGGAAUUCAUGGUGUAGCAGUGAAAUGCGUAGAGAUCAUGAGGAAGACCAGUGGCGAAGGCGGGUCUCUGGGACGGUACUGACGCUGAGGAGCGAAAGCGUGGGGAGCGAACAGG
rnacentral:rRNA from 1 species